GCCUUAAUAAUAAUUUAAGGUGAUGCCUGCCCAAUGAUAAUAAAAGUAUUUUUUUAUUGUAAAAAUUUAUUAUUUCAAUGGCCGCAGUAUUCUUGACUGUGUUAAGGUAGCACAAUCAAUCGCCGCUUAAUUGGCGGAUGGUAUGAAUGGUAAUACGAAAAUUUCACUGUCUCAAAUGUAGGAUUAAAAAAAUUGAAAUAAUAGUUAAGAUGCUAUUUAAAAUUGUAAGACGAUAAGACCCUAUAAAGCUUUACUACUAUCCUUAAUAUAUAAAUUUAUUAGGGAAAAGGUAGUUUACUUGGGGCAAGGACUUUUUAAAUUAAAAAAAAGUAUGCAAAAUGAAUAAAACAUUUAUUGUAUAAACUAUAAUUUUAACAAUCACAAAGUGGGCUAUAAUGACCCGUUUAUCCUUUAAAAACAGAUAAACAAUUAUUAAAUAAAAGCUACUUUAGGGAUAACAGGAUAAUUUUAUCAAAGAGUCCACAUUACUGAUAAAGUUUGUCACCUCGAUGUUGAAUUAAGAUUUCCUAGCGGAGCAGAAACUGCUAAGGGUGGGUCUGUUCGACCCUUAAAUAUCUU
rnacentral:rRNA from 1 species